UCUCUUAGCCUGUAAGGCUUGUGCGUGAUGUAUAUGAGAGCGAUUUCCAGCAGAGCGAAGCUUAUCACAGAUCCACCUAAAAGCUACUGCACUAAAUGCAUCCCGGUCCAAUGAAAUUACGUGGUUUUAUAAUAGAGCGUUAGAAACCUGGGGAUCCCAAUGCAGGUCACAGUUGGGCUAGCCUGCCCACGUAAUGCUUAUUGUACCGUGUGGACUAGCC